rnacentral:misc_RNA from 1 species
UUAAGGUGACCCUACCAAUAACGCAACGUUUUGCUGUUAUAUGAAGACCGGUCAUGCGGUAGAGAAUUCUCAGUAAUAAAAUAAAUUCAACAUUAGAACAUUAUCAGUAUUGUUCGUUAAUGCAGAGAAACGAUUAAUUUGUGCGAAACAAACGUUUGCGUUUGGACAGUCGGGAUUAUGGAACUACACGAGGAUUUGACUAUAUUUGUAAAUGGGCAAUUUCAUAAGGUUCUGGCAAAUGAAUUAUCACCUACUACCACCUUAAACAGUUUCUUAAGGAACCAUCUACAUUUAACAGGCACUAAACGAAUGUGCUUAGAAGGAGGUUGUGGAGCGUGCCUUGUUGCUGUCAAACGGCAGAAUGCAGUAACCAAGGAAGAUGAAAUAGUCGCUGUCAAUUCUUGUUUGGUUUCCAUUUUUUCAACAGUUGGCUGGGAAAUAUACACAAUAGAAGGCCUUGGAGACACAACGAAUCCAAAUAAGUUGCAACAAGUAAUUGCCAAGUUCUACGGCACGCAAUGCGGAUAUUGUACGCCUGGUAUGAUAAUGAAUAUGUUUGCUUUAAAACAAAACACGAAAGAUGUUACGAUGGAAACUGUGGAAAAUUCAUUUGGCGGGAAUAUAUGUAGAUGUACUGGCUACAGGCCAAUUUUAGAAGCCUUUAAGUCAGUUUGCCAAGACGCGUCUCCAGAUUUAGCUAAAAAAUGUGGAGAUAUCGAAGACAUGCCUGUGUGCAAAAUGAAACUGAAAUAUCCUGAUAUUAUUUGCACGCCACAUUUAGCAUCCCCAUUUUAUUAUAAACUAGGAGGAUUAUCUUGGAUUAAAGUCACCUUGUUGAACGAUUUAAUACAAAUAAUAAAGACAUUCGAAUCAACUAAGAAUGGCAAUCCGAAUUAUUAUACCAUAGUAGCUGGAAAUACAUCAAAAGGAGUAUAUAAAAAAGAAACUGUAUACAACGUUUACGUAGAUAUACAGGAUGUUCGUGAAUUAAAAUCUAUCAGAUUAGUUGAAAAUGGAUUAAACGUAGGUGCCAACAUUACAUUAACUACAGCAAUCAGUACAUUUAAAAAAAUGUCACAAAAUAUACCACAACUAAAAUAUUUGAAGAAACUAGCCGAACAUAUUGAGUUGGUAGCAAAUGUACCCGUAAGAAAUAUAGGAACGUUAGCUGGAAACUUAAUGAUUAAACACAAGAAUAACGAGUUCCCAUCAGAUAUAUUUCUGCUUUUAGAAACUGUUAACGCGACAUUACAAAUAAUUGAUACAGAAGAAAAUAAAAAACUUGUCAAACCAAGGGAGUUUUUAAAAAUAAAUAUGGAGAACAAGAUUAUCAAGAGUAUUCUUUUGCCGAACCAGUCAAAAAAUUAUUAUUUUGAAAGUUUUAAGAUAAUGAAACGUUCUCAAAAUACUCAUGCUAGCAUUAAUACAGCAUUUUUACUGAAAAUUUCUGAUCAAAAUCUGGUAGAAGACGCAAAUAUAGUAAUUGGUACACUAGGCUCAAAAAUCCAUGCCUCGAAUACUGAAAACCUUAUUAGAGGCAAAAAUAUUUUUGACAAUGACAUCUUACAGCAAGUAUUCAAAAGUCUGGACGGUGAACUAAAUCCCGAAGAUAAUUUAAUGCACCCUUCGCCAGAAUAUUCGAAAAAGUGUACUAUUAGUUUAUUUUAUAAAUAUAUUCUUAGUAUUGCACCUCAAAAUUUACUGACUUUAAGUCACGUCUCAGGAAAAUCUAAAUUGAAACGACCUAUCUCCAAGAGUAAACAGGAAUAUGAAAUAAAAGAAGACAUGUAUCCGAUUUCUUAUCCAGUUACAAAAAAAGAAGCGAUGCUGCAAACUACUGGUGAAGCAGAGUAUAUCUCAGACAUGCCAGACUUAGUAGGCCAGCUACAUGCAGCUUUUGUACUUGCUAAAGCUAAGCCAUUGUCAAGAGUUAUAAAAGUAGAUGCCCAAAAGGCUAUGAAAUUGGACGGAGUAGUGGCAUUUUUUGACAAGAAUGACAUCCCCGGUCGGAACACCUUCACCCCCAUAGAGGCAGAAUUUCUAACAUUCUAUCACGUAGAAGAAGAGCUCUUUUGUGGCGGAGUUGUGCAGUAUGACCGUCAACCAAUAGGAGUAAUAGUGGCCACAUCGCAGGACCUAGCCGAAAAGGCUGCAGAGUUGGUGGAAGUAGCUUACGAAACAACGAAUGAAAAGAAUCUUCAUAGUAUUAAAGAUGUGUUGAAAAACAACGCGAAGGAAAGGAUAAAAGAAGAUUCUAAGGAAGAGCCGAUACAAAAAGUGGUAAAUACAGAACAUAUCGUUAAUGGCAAGGUAGAGCUAGGUUGGCAGGCUCAUUUUUACAUGGAAACGCAAUGUUGUAAUGUUGUUUACAAAGAUGAUGGAUUAGACAUGUAUUCUAGUACUCAGUGGAUGGAUGGUGUCCAAACAGCAGCAUCUGUAGCGUUAAAAAUUCCUGCUAAUAAAAUAAAUGUUAUUGUCAAACGUCUAGGAGGUGGUUUUGGCGGGAAAAUCGUAAGACAUAAUAUAGUUUCAACUGCUACAGCGCUGGCGGCUUAUAAGCUUAAGAAACCAGUUAAGAUGUGGCUUCCCAUAGAAAAAAAUUUCGCGAUUAUUGGUAAGAGAAAUCCUGUACUAAGCAACUACGAAGUGGGUACGGAUAGAGAUGGAAAUAUUCAGUUCGUCAAUAAUAACUUUUUUAUCGACCAUGGAAAAGGAGGAAACGAGGAUUUGAUUCCCUAUACAAUUUUAGCCUUAACAACAACUUAUUCUUCAAAACAGAGGUCCACGUCAUCAAAUACGGUGACAACAGAUAUGCAUGCUAGUUGCUACAUCAGAGCACCAGGAAUGCUUGAGGGUGUGGCUAUAGUCGAAUCAAUCAUGGAAAAUACAGCAAUGGAAAUAGGUAUGGAUGCUUUGGAGUUCAAAAUUAAAAACAUUGACAAGACGGAUCCCAAAAUCUUAGAAUAUUUAUUAGAAUUGAAGCAAUGGGCUGACAUUGAUACAAGGAAAGAAGAAAUCGAAAAAUUUAAUAAGAGUAAUAUUUGGCGUAAGAAAGGAAUUUCCGUAGUCCCGAUAAAAUUCCCGAUGGAGAUAUAUUUUAAUUAUGGGGUAUUAGUCUCCAUAUAUCACAGUGAUGGAAGCGUGGCAAUAUCUCAUGGCGGAGUUGAAAUAGGUCAAGGAGUAAACACUAAGGCGAUUCAAACUUGUGCAUACAAACUGGGCAUACCGAUGGAAAAGAUUACAGUUAAACCAAGUAACAAUUUGAUAGGAGCAAAUUCGGGAAUUACAGGAGCUAGUUUGGCCAGUGAAGGAGUUUGUUGGGCUGUUUCAGAAUGUUGUGAGAUUCUUCUGGAGAGGAUGAAACCUAUCAAAGAAUCUAUGUCGAAUCCAACUUGGGAGGAACUUGUUAAAACAAGCCACAGAGAAUGUGUAAAUUUGGUAGCUAAUAUGAUGUGUUGGUGAACCUGCAAUUUGUAUUGGUGUUGCUGUACCAUUAGCAAUUAGAAAUGCUGUGGCUUCUGUUCGAAAAUAUUUCGAUAAAGAAGCUUCUGCUUGGUAUCCAUUUGUUGGGCCGUCAACUGUUGACAA